UGGACAGAGAAGUGGCCUCAGAACAUGGAAGCGGGGCGCUGAUUAACCAGGUGCCUCAGCUUCCUGACUACAUAGGACACAGACGUGAGGGCCAACAAAGCUAAGGGAGACUUUGGACACACUGACCUCUAGCUAACACACCCCACAGCCGCCCACGCCUGUCCUCCACACCAACUGUGACACAGGAGGACAGUCAAGAGGACAAGGAACAUCCUCUCCUCCCAAACCUUGAUUCCUAGUGAGGACACAGAAACCUCAAGUUCCAGUCUUGACUGGUAGUGAGCAGACAGCCCAGGAUCGUCUAGUGUUCCCAUUGAAGACUGGGCAGAGGAGAUCGGAGACAGGAGACAUGGCAAGCCACAGCGGAGGGCAGAGACGGGCUGAGCACUUGCCCUUUGCCCCCGUCUCCAUGGUCAUCUAGUCAACACAUUCUGGCCCUUCAUAUCUCAUCUACAAUAGAACUACCAGAUACAUCUCUGCUGCAACUGGAGAUAAGACCAGAAUCUGUCAAGCUUCUGCUUGCCCCCUCCCUCCCGGCUCUUAACAGCCAGUGGAAAAGGCUCCUUCUGGCUGCUGAAUUGCAACUGAGCCUAUGUAACAAAGAGGUGCUUCCCAGGAUGCCAGGAAAUUGCAGGAAAAAUGGUCUCUCCACCUUUGGAAAGAGUUCAUCUGGCCCUGCUGCUGCCUUCCUUCUAGAGGCCAAGCUCUUGUUAGAGACACUGCAAUUUAUUCCCUUGCUGAGGACUAUGAUGCAGGAAAUGGAGAAGGAGAAGGACUCUGAGCAUUUGGUUGGCUGCUGGGACAGGUGAGCUUCUGAGAUGGUGAUCUCAUUUGUCUUGCAAAUACCACGCACACACUACCCAGAAGAGGGGCUGGGAGACAAGCCACCAAGCCUCGGUGACUGCAGAUGGAAUUGUUUCUAAACAGAAUGUUUUUCAAAGCUUCUCUUGAAGCAUUAGCUGUGCCUGCAAAAUGAAUGACACAAUGUAUUUCGUACAAGUAAUAAAAUAUGUGAUUUGAAUAACUACAAAUGAAAA
rnacentral:lncRNA from 1 species